GGCGGUAUAGCUCAGUCGGUAGAGCAAGGGACUCAUAAGCCCUGUGUCGCAGGUUCGAUUCCUGCUGCCGCUACCA
rnacentral:tRNA from 1 species